UGGGGAAUUUUGCACAAUGGGGGAAACCCUGAUGCAGCGACGCCGCGUGAUUUAGAAGGCCUUCGGGUUGUAAAAAUCUUUUCUAUGGGAAGAAAAUGACAGUACCAUAGGAAUAAGGACCGGCUAAUUACGUGCCAGCAGCUGCGGUAAUACGUAAGGUCCGAGCGUUGUCCGGAAUCAUUGGGCGUAAAGGGUACGUAGGCGGGUAAGCAAGUUAGAAGGGAAAUCCUAUAGCUCAACUAUAGUAAGCUUUUAAACCUGCUCAUCUUGAGGUAUGGAAAGGAAAGUGGAAUUCCUGGUGUAGCGGUGAGAUGCGCAGAUAUUAGGAGGAAUACCGGUGGCGAAGGCGAGUUUCUGGCCAUAACCUGACGCUGAGGUACGAUAGCGUGGGUAGCAAACAGA
rnacentral:rRNA from 1 species